AACGAACGCUGGCGGCAGGCCUAACACAUGCAAGUCGAGCGAGCAUUUCGGUGCUAGCGGCGGACGGGUGAGUAACGCGUGGGAACGUGCUCUUUUCUGCGGAAUAGUCCUGGGAAACUGGGGGUAAUACCGCAUACGCCCUUUUGGGGAAAGAUUUAUCGGAGAAGGAUCGGCCCGCGUUGGAUUAGGUAGUUGGUGGGGUAAUGGCCCACCAAGCCGACGAUCCAUAGCUGGUUUGAGAGGAUGAUCAGCCACACUGGGACUGAGACACGGCCCAGACUCCUACGGGAGGCAGCAGUGGGGAAUCUUAGACAAUGGGGGCAACCCUGAUCUAGCCAUGCCGCGUGAGUGAUGAAGGCCUUAGGGUUGUAAAGCUCUUUCAGCUGGGAAGAUAAUGACGGUACCAGCAGAAGAAGCCCCGGCUAACUCCGUG
rnacentral:rRNA from 1 species